CAAACCAGGCAGGGCUCAAAAUGGCGUCUGGAAGGAAACGUGGGUUGAAACUUCACUCAAUAAUCGAGAAACUUUCUGAACAGUGUGAAAGAAAGAGUCCUUUACGCGAUGACGAAGGUGAAGAUAUUCAUCUGAGUUCAGAACUUUGUAAUGUAAAAAGGUGCAGUAUUUUAAAUGUCAUUAUUUUCCCAGUGUACUGAACCAAAUUUCCUUAAUCAAGUGCUCAGCUUUACUUAAAGUGCCUAUGAAGUAAAAAAUAAUUGCUGAUUAUUUGAAAGGCUUUUCAAAGUAAAGAAGAAUGGC